rnacentral:rRNA from 1 species
GACGAACGCUGGCGGCGUGCCUAAUACAUGCAAGUAGAACGCUGAAGAGAGGAGCUUGCUCUUCUUGGAUGAGUUGCGAACGGGUGAGUAACGCGUAGGUAACCUGCCUUGUAGCGGGGGAUAACUAUUGGAAACGAUAGCUAAUACCGCAUAACAAUGGAUGACCCAUGUCAUUUAUUUGAAAGGGGCAAAUGCUCCACUACAAGAUGGACCUGCGUUGUAUAGCUAGUAGGUGAGGUAACGGCUCACCUAGGCGACGAUACAUAGCCGACCUGAGAGGGUGAUCGGCCACACUGGGACUGAGACACGGCCCAGACUCCUACGGGAGGCAGCAGUAGGGAAUCUUCGGCAAUGGGGGCAACCCUGACCGAGCAACGCCGCGUGAGUGAAGAAGGUUUUCGGAUCGUAAAGCUCUGUUGUAAGUCAAGAACGAGUGUGAGAGUGGAAAGUUCACACUGUGACGGUAGCUUACCAGAAAGGGACGGCUAACUACGUG